rnacentral:tRNA from 1 species
GGGUUUAUGUGAUAAAAGGAUGUUAUAGGAAAGUCUUAAAUUAUGACUCUUAAUCAGUAGGUUGUUGGUUCGAUUCCAACACGGCCCACCA